rnacentral:rRNA from 1 species
AUUGAACGCUGGCGGCCGGCCUAACACAUGCAAGUCGAACGAGUGGCGGACGGGUGAGUAAUGUCUGGGAAACUGCCCGAUGGAGGGGGAUAACUACUGGAACCGGUAGCUAAUACCGCGUACCACAGGAUGAGCCCAAGUGGGAUUAGGUAGUUGGUGAGGUAAAGGCUCACAAAGCCGACGAUCCAUAGCUGGUCUGAGAGGAUGACCAGCCACACUGGGACUGAGACACGGCCCAGACUCCUACGGGAGGCAGCAGUGGGGAAUAUUGCGCAAUGGGGGCAAGCCUGACCGAGCCAUGCCGCGUGAAUGAAGAAGGCCUUCGGGUUGUAAAGUUCUUUCGGUAGCGAGGCGUUAACUACAGAAGAAGCAACGGCUAACUCCGUGCCAGCAGCCGCGGUAAUAC